rnacentral:hammerhead_ribozyme from 1 species
AUCCGGCUGACGAGUCCAAAAUAGAACGAAACACGCGUCCUGGAU